AGCCGUAUCGCGUUGAAUCACCGGUUCCCACCCGAUCACCGACGUUAAGCAACAUUGAGGCUUGUCGGUACCCAGAUUGGUGACCACUUGGGAAUAUUAAGCGUUGUCA